rnacentral:tRNA from 1 species
GCUCCGGUAAUUCAAUUGGAUAGAAUGUGGCUCUCCUAAAGCCGUCAUCUGGGUUCAAGUCCCAGCCGGAGUACCA